AGUGUAGGCGGCUAUUUAAGUCGGAUGUGAAAUCCCCGGGCUCAACCUGGGAAUUGCAUUCGAAACUGAAUAGCUAGAGUUUGGUAGAGGUAAGUGGAAUUCCGGGUGUAGCGGUGAAAUGCGUAGAUAUCCGGAGGAACAUCAGUGGCGAAGGCGGCUUACUGGACCAAAACUGACGCUGAGGCUCGAAAGCGUGGGGAGCAAACAGGAUUAGAUACCCUGGUAGUCC
rnacentral:rRNA from 1 species